CUUACCAUGCAGUCGAGCGGUAAGGCCCUUCGGGGUACACGAGCGGCGAACGGGUGAGUAACACGUGAGCAACCUGCCCCUGACUCCGGGAUAAGCGGUGGAAACGCCGUCUAAUACCGGAUACGACCCGCCACCUCAUGGUGGAGGGUGGAAAGUUUUAUCGGUCAGGGAUGGGCUCGCGGCCUAUCAGCUUGUUGGUGGGGUAAAGGCCUACCAAGGCGAUUACGGGUAGCCGGCCUGAGAGGGCGACCGGCCACACUGGGACUGAGACACGGCCCAGACUCCUGCGGGAGGCAGCAGUGGGGAAUAUUGCACAAUGGGCGAAAGCCUGAUGCAGCGACGCCGCGUGGGGGAUGAAGGCCUUCGGGUUGUAAACCUCUUUUACCACCAACGCAGGCUCCACGUUCUCGUGGGGUUGACGGUAGGUGGGGAAUAAGGACCGGCUAACUACGUGCCAGCAGCCGCGGUAAUACGUAGGGUCCGAGCGUUGUCCGGAAUUAUUGGGCGUAAAGAGCUCGUAGGCGGCAUGUCGCGUCUGCUGUGAAAGACCGGGGCUUAACUCCGGUUCUGCAGUGGAUACGGGCAUGCUAGAGGUAGGUAGGGGAAACUGGAAUUCCUGGUGUAGCGGUGAAAUGCGCAGAUAUCAGGAGGAACACCGGUGGCGAAGGCGGGUUUCUGGGCCUUACCUGACGCUGAGGAGCGAAAGCAUGGGGAGCGAACAGGAUUAGAUACCCUGGUAGUCCAUGCCGUAAACGUUGGGCGCUAGGUGUGGGGACUUUCCACGGUUUCCGCGCCGUAGCUAACGCAUUAAGCGCCCCGCCUGGGGAGUACGGCCGCAAGGCUAAAACUCAAAGGAAUUGACGGGGGCCCGCACAAGCGGCGGAGCAUGUUGCUUAAUUCGACGCAACGCGAAGAACCUUACCAAGGUUUGACAUCACCCGUGGACCUGUAGAGAUACAGGGUCAUUUAGUUGGUGGGUGACAGGUGGUGCAUGGCUGUCGUCAGCUCGUGUCGUGAGAUGUUGGGUUAAGUCCCGCAACGAGCGCAACCCUUGUUCCAUGUUGCCAGCACGUAAUGGUGGGGACUCAUGGGAGACUGCCGGGGUCAACUCGGAGGAAGGUGGGGACGACGUCAAGUCAUCAUGCCCCUUAUGUCUUGGGCUGCAAACAUGCUACAAUGGCCGGUACAAUGGGCGUGCGAUACCGUAAGGUGGAGCGAAUCCCUUAAAGCCGGUCUCAGUUCGGAUUGGGGUCUGCAACUCGACCCCAUGAAGGUGGAGUCGCUAGUAAUCGCGGAUCAGCAACGCCGCGGUGAAUACGUUCCCGGGCCUUGUACACACCGCCCGUCACGUCAUGAAAGUCGGCAACACCCGAAACUUGUGGCCUA
rnacentral:rRNA from 1 species